ACUCCUACGGGAGGCAGCAGUGGGGAAUAUUGCACAAUGGGCGCAAGCCUGAUGCAGCCAUGCCGCGUGUGUGAAGAAGGCCUUCGGGUUGUAAAGCACUUUCAGUCGUGAGGAAGGUAAUGUAGUUAAUAGCUGCAUUAUUUGACGUUAGCGACAGAAGAAGCACCGGCUAACUCCGUGCCAGCAGCCGCGGUAAUACGGAGGGUGCGAGCGUUAAUCGGAAUUACUGGGCGUAAAGCGCAUGCAGGUGGUUUGUUAAGUCAGAUGUGAAAGCCCGGGGCUCAACCUCGGAAUAGCAUUUGAAAACUGGCAAGACUAGAGUACUGUAGAGGGGGUAGAAUUUCAGGUGUAGCGGUGAAAUGCGU
rnacentral:rRNA from 1 species